CGGCCUCACGAGAAGUAAUCAGUUGGGAAGCCGAUUCAUGGCCAAUCAGACCAACAUUCGAUCCGUACGGAUCAAGCGUUCCCAUCAAUUCCUCGCUUAUGAACCGAGAAGGGAGGUUGAGUGGAGAGAGGGCGAAAUCUGCUUCUGAGAACGGAUCGAGGCGAUGUUUAGCGACCUCGGCCUCGUGCAACUUCUCUUGCUCCGAGAAGAUGUCUAUCAUUUCCUGCGGGAUCUCCGU
rnacentral:lncRNA from 1 species